UACGGGGGGGGGCAAGCGUUGUUCGGAAUUACUGGGCGUAAAGGGCUCGUAGGCGGCCAACUAAGUCGGAUGUGAAAUCCCCAGGCUUAACCUGGGAACUGCAUCCGAUACUGGAUGGCUUGAAUCCGGGAGAGGGAUGCAGAAUUCCAGGUGUAGCGGUGAAAUGCGUAGAUAUCUGGAGGAAUACCGGUGGCGAAGGCGACAUCCUGGACCGGUAUUGACGCUGAGGCGCGAAAGCCAGGGGAGCAAACGGG
rnacentral:rRNA from 1 species